rnacentral:rRNA from 1 species
CAGCAGCCGCGGUAAGACGUAGGAUGCAAGCGUUGUCCGGAUUUAUUGGGCGUAAAGAGUUCGUAGGUGGUUUGUUAAGUUUGGUGUUAAAGAUUGGGGCUCAACCCUGAAACUGCACUGAAUACUGGCAGACUCGAGUGUGGUAGAGGCUAGUGGAAUUCCCAGUGUAGCGGUGAAAUGCGUAGAUAUUGGGAAGAACACCGGUGGCGUAGGCGACUAGCUGGGCCAUAACUGACACUGAGGAACGAAAGCCAGGGGAGCGAAUGGGAUUAGAUACCCCAGUAGUCCUGGCCGUAAACGAUGGAUACUAGGCGUAUCGGGUAUCGACCCCUGAUGUGCCGCAGCUAACGCGAUAAGUAUCCCGCCUGAGUAGUACGGCCGCAAGGUUGAAACUCAAAGGAAUUGACGGGGGCCCGCACAAGCGGUGGAACAUGUGGUUUAAUUCGAAGCAACGCGAAGAACCUUACCAGGGCUUGACAUGGUAGGAACCUUUAGGAAACUAGAGGGUGCCCGCAAGGGAGCCUACACACAGGAGGUGCAUGGCC